GAUCCUGGCUCAGGACGAACGCUGGCGGCGUGCCUAAUACAUGCAAGUCGAGCGGACCGACGGGAGCUUGCUCCCUUAGGUCAGCGGCGGACGGGUGAGUAACACGUGGGUAACCUGCCUGUAAGACUGGGAUAACUCCGGGAAACCGGGGCUAAUACCGGAUGCUUGAUUGAACCGCAUGGUUCAAUCAUAAAAGGUGGCUUUUAGCUACCACUUGCAGAUGGACCCGCGGCGCAUUAGCUAGUUGGUGAGGUAACGGCUCACCAAGGCGACGAUGCGUAGCCGACCUGAGAGGGUGAUCGGCCACACUGGGACUGAGACACGGCCCAGACUCCUACGGGAGGCAGCAGUAGGGAAUCUUCCGCAAUGGACGAAAGUCUGACGGAGCAACGCCGCGUGAGUGAUGAAGGUUUUCGGAUCGUAAAACUCUGUUGUUAGGGAAGAACAAGUACCGUUCGAAUAGGGCGGUACCUUGACGGUACCUAACCAGAAAGCCACGGCUAACUACGUGCCAGCAGCCGCGGUAAUACGUAGGUGGCAAGCGUUGUCCGGAAUUAUUGGGCGUAAAGCGCGCGCAGGCGGUUUCUUAAGUCUGAUGUGAAAGCCCCCGGCUCAACCGGGGAGGGUCAUUGGAAACUGGGGAACUUGAGUGCAGAAGAGGAGAGUGGAAUUCCACGUGUAGCGGUGAAAUGCGUAGAGAUGUGGAGGAACACCAGUGGCGAAGGCGACUCUCUGGUCUGUAACUGACGCUGAGGCGCGAAAGCGUGGGGAGCGAACAGGAUUAGAUACCCUGGUAGUCCACGCCGUAAACGAUGAGUGCUAAGUGUUAGAGGGUUUCCGCCCUUUAGUGCUGCAGCAAACGCAUUAAGCACUCCGCCUGGGGAGUACGGUCGCAAGACUGAAACUCAAAGGAAUUGACGGGGGCCCGCACAAGCGGUGGAGCAUGUGGUUUAAUUCGAAGCAACGCGAAGAACCUUACCAGGUCUUGACAUCCUCUGGCAACCCUAGAGAUAGGGCUUCCCCUUCGGGGGCAGAGUGACAGGUGGUGCAUGGUUGUCGUCAGCUCGUGUCGUGAGAUGUUGGGUUAAGUCCCGCAACGAGCGCAACCCUUGAUCUUAGUUGCCAGCAUUCAGUUGGGCACUCUAAGGUGACUGCCGGUGACAAACCGGAGGAAGGUGGGGAUGACGUCAAAUCAUCAUGCCCCUUAUGACCUGGGCUACACACGUGCUACAAUGGGCAGAACAAAGGGCAGC
rnacentral:rRNA from 1 species